UACCGUUUCUCAUAAAUACAGUUGAAUACUGUAAAUAAACAUUAAUAUGACAAACAAAAUAAUAACAGCAAGCUCCUGUUCAGUCUUACGGGAUAAUACAGUAUUUUUUGGUUUGGUCAGGCAUGUCAGACAUGUGACGAGCUCAUCUGCAACCAUGAGUAAAACUGAUUUAACUACACUGUUUUUCUGCAUUUUAUUAUACGAGAAGGAAGCAGAAUUAAAGACUGUCUAUCAAUUUUCACUCCGAUUGUGACCCUACCAGCACUGAGACGGACGACGAAUUCACUUAUUUUUUACUCCUCGCCUGUAUAUCAAGUUGCUGGUGAUGAAGUAACAUUUGGAGGUUGGAUGAUCAGCAGUGAAAACAUCAUCAUCUGUGAAGGCAAGAUGAAGCUGCGAGGACACUGGAGUUUGUUCAAAGAUGCUUAAUUGGUGUGAACCCUAAGAGGUGAACAAAAGCCAGGCAGGUGAAGGUGUCCGAGAAGACAGGAAAGCUUGUCCAGAAAAACGCAGCAACUGUUAAUCCCCAUGUGACCACCCUCAUCAAAAACUUCAUGGACUUUGAGUGGCUUUCACAUUGUAUUCUGCAGUGUUGUGAUAUUUAUGUGACAUCACAGCAUUAUGUUUUAUUCAGCCCAGUCUCAUUAGUGAGGCAGAAACUGACAUUUAAGAAUGCACUGAAUUUUGUUAUAUUUAAUAAAAACAGUGUUUUAUCAUCAUCCUUUGUU